rnacentral:lncRNA from 1 species
CAGAAUCACAAAUCCCAGGGGCAGAGAAAGCAGCAAGAAAUGUUGCCUCAGAAGGAGCUUUUUCCCAUCGUGAGGAUGCUUGGAGCCUGGCCUUGAGUGAGGAGUGAGAUGCUGCUCUUCAGCUCCUAGGCAGUGGAGGUCCUGCAUGUUUUUAUGAGCCAUGGACAAUGAUGCUGACACUGCUGGUCUCAAGACUGAUAGUCUAGAAGUGGUCCUCCUAUUUCACUGAACAUAAAAAUGACCUGAUAAGCCUGUUGAAAAAGCAGAUUCCAGGGCUGAUUCAGAAUGUCAGGAAUGGAGUCCAGGAAGUUCAUCUAUAACAACUUUUCAGUGUUUUUGGGCAUCAUGGUUAUGCAGCCACAAUGCUCUGGGGGUCUCUCCUUGGAUCUUACACUGCUUGUUUUGGCUUACGGACCAGUGCAUACUUUUAUGGCCAUUCAUUACUACAGGAAUGAAAAUAAGGCCCUUGAACCACUCCCCACCAUCCUAAAGCAGCUUCUUCUUACAUGGCCUUGGAUCAGCUCGCCAUCCACGUCCAACAGAACAAAUGCUAGCACAGGGGUCUUCCGUGGCUGAGACAGGUUCUGUGACUUGCAUUUGACUGAUGAAAUAUGGCAGAAGUGACACUGUGUGACUUCUGAAGCUUGUGCAGAAGAUGCUUUGCAUCAUCUUCCAGGAGUUCUUGAAACACUUUUUGGGACCCAGCUACCACAUAGUGAGAAGACCCAGCCACACACAGGUGCUCCAGUGGACAGCCCCAUCUGUGCUCCAAGCCAGCAUCAACUGCCAGCCUUGUGAAUGAACCACCUUGGACUUUCAGCCCCAUUGAGCCUGCAGACAACUCCAACCCUACAUACUGCAUGACUGCAGUAGGAUGAAAUAGAUAAACAGGCCCAGGGAGGUUUUGUGCCUAGCUUGAGUCAACACUGCUCUGGUGGUGGUCAGUCUCCUGCUGCUCGGUCCACAGUGCACACUAUUUCUGCUCUCUCUGGCUGGAGAGUCAGGGAAACUGUUGAGCCUACGAUAAUGAAGUCAAUUCUGAUCAACUGAGAUGCAGGAGGAACUCUGAGCAAGAUGAAGAAGGGGUGAAUGGUGACCUGUUCAGCCUGGCUGUUGGGCAUCCCCGGCUUUCAGCAGCACUGGAGGAAACGGAGCCAUGAUGGGCAACACACCAGGCAACAGCCGGGUCCUGCAAUGACUGGAAACUCAGCCAGCGGUUUCCAGGAGAUUCUCCACUCACCAGGAAAUUGCCCAGCUGAAUGGAGACAGGGAGUUGCUCCUCUGGUCCUCAGAAAGGAAAGAGAACCAGCAACGACUGCCUCUUCCACUGGCAUCUCUACCUGGUCAAAGAACCAACCAGUCACAAAAGAAAACCUUGGUGAACAUCAGUGGGGAGAAUGAAAUUAUGCUCAAUCAGCAGGAUGACCUCAAAAUGAUGAGGAAACAAGUUCACAGUGGAUUAGGAAUGUGCCUGAGUUCAUCCAGAGCCUGAAGAGGCCAUUGGUUCUAUGCCCCAAUGCCUGUAUAUAUGAUGGGACAGUGAAUCUGGGUGCUUUCUGUGCUCCAUGUGGAGAAGGUGAAGCAGUCACUCUUGUCAUCUCUCUAAAGAACUGAGUUGGAGCGCGUCUUUGGAUAGGAGCCGUGCUGCUGCUGACUGGGGAAGAGGUGUGGUCUAAUGGUGACUGAGCCUGCCAGAAUUUUGAAACAGACAGGUGUCCAGAUCAUCUUGGCUCAUCUGGAUUUUGGAUGCUUUGUCACUGAGAAGAUUAGGAAGAUGAGGCUCAGAAAAAUGAAGUGACAUACCUCUGAGUGAGGCAAAGCUGAGUCUGGUGACUCCAAACCGCAGUGAGCUGCUGCAUCCCUGGUGAUGAGACGGGCUUCCUGCUUUCAUACAAAGCUCUCGAGUCUUCUCCAAAGAGUACACCCAAGACCUUGCCCGGUAAAACUGGAUGACUUUCCUCAGGCAUAGGAAAGGUCCCACCUUCUUUUCAGAUACAGUCCUGAAAAGAAGAGCAGAAAGCACCAAUUCCAAGUGUACUCUACUUCCUGUAAUCUCCAGCUCUAGGUACUGAAAAGAAACAAAAAGCUUGGUAGCAGGCAAAGGAACAAACACUUGUAGGGAUGCAGAUGUCCCUGCCUCACUUGGUGCCACCUGGAAAAACCUCUAAUUGGCUCAAAUCCCUCCUUUCUUACCACUUUUAAUUGAUAUGCCUGGUCCUGAACUCACAUUCAACAUUCCCAUCCUAAUUCCUGGACUGGUGGGGGUGGCAUGGAGGUGGAAAAUGGGGUGGUAUGAAUGAAACAUGCUUGGGCAUGAACUCAUGAAAUUACUGAAGCUGGUGGUGAGUACAUGAGCAUUGACUAUACUAGCUCCUCUAUUUCUGAUUACGUUUGAAAUUUUCUAUUAUAAAACAAAGAAAAACGAACACUUAAGAUCCUCCAAUGUUCCUUCUUUCAUUUUGCUUAUCACUGCCUCUAGUGAUGUUCUGUUUUCAAGAAACUAAUGUGACUUGAUUCAGGUUGUCUUUUACUUCAAAGAGAAUGCCUUUAUUUUAUCCAUAGGGCUACUCUAAUGAGUCAAAUUUCUGAAUCCAUUAAAAUCAUGGUUCAGUGGAUCAAAAUUCACUUCAUCCCUGAAAGCUUGGAUAGGCUUUGUAUAUUAUCCCAUCUAUUCCCUUCCUAUUGGCCCCUCAGGGUUCUGAUCAAUGGUUUACCUUUCUGUCCUCUUGUGACCAUGGCAACUUUUAUCAUUCAGGGAUUAAGUUAGGCUUACCCUCUGAUUCCACAUGCCCUGUGAAAUCGGGAAUGUUUCUCCAUUCUCAGUUGGAAGGCCUGCAGUGGAAAAAUGGACAGUCAGCCUUUGAGGAACUUCACUUCCCACAUCUCCAAGCCUGUCCCAUCCCACUGCCACACAAACUGCCCAGCGACUGUCCUAUCUUCUAAGGCAUGAGACCUCGCACUUUAAAACUGGAAUAUUUUCCACAGGCCCUCAAGCCACGAAAUCAUUCCCUUUGUUUCACAACGCUCUAGAGUAAUAGUGUACAUGUUUGCCAUGUACACAUGGCCUCCACUGGACAGCCAUGGGACCGUGUCCACACCCCUGCCAUACCUGGCUAUCACACUGUGUUCUGUGCUCUUCUCUACACCUGCUUCUCUCCAGUGAUGGCGCUUCUUCAGGACAGGGGCUAGACAGUCUUUUUUAAAUCCGCAGGACCCAGUGUUCUAUUUGACUUAUGGUAGAUGAUUCACAUGCAUUUGUUAAGUGAAGAAAUGUCAUAAUCAUACUGAAAUGUAAGCCUAUCUACUUGGGAAGAAAUUUAUUUGGAAAUACUGUAUUUGGAAACAAACAAAAAGAGCAUUCUGUAUUUAAGUCUUCCAGCAGACAAAGGUGACCAUGUCAUACCGAUCUUUUGACGACCUCCCUUUCCAUACGUGUGAGCCAUGACUUGACUUCCUUAGUCUGAGUCUUUUUUUUUUUUUUUCCUUUUUACAGUGGCACCUGAGGCAUAUGGACAUUCCCAGGCCGAGGAUCAGAUCAGAGCCACAGCCGUUGCCUAUGCCAAAGCCACAGCCACACCAGAUCCGAGCCACAUCUGCAACCUGUACCACAGCUUAUGGUAAUGCCUGAUCCUUAACCCACUGAGCGAGGGCGGGGAUGGAAUCUGCAUCCUCACGUCAACAAUGUUGGGUCUUUAACCUGCUAAGCCACAACAGGAACUCUGAGUUUGUCUUACUAGUCAUUCUGCCCCAACUCUACCUCUUCCAAAUCAGUCACUUGAAUGAAAAAGAAAAACCAAAAUUUCCAUUUGUGCUUUUGUUAAGAUUGAACCAUCUUCCUUUUUUUAAUUAAAAUUUUAAAAAAUUUUUUGAAAUAAUUUUUUCCAUUUUAACAUUCCUCUGUGCUGUGAUUCCCAAGGAGCCCAAGGAUGGGGUUAGAGAGAGUGUACGGGAAGAACCUUCUCUACAACAAGGCAAUGGGGAUUGACUUUGCUCCACCCUGUCUUUGUUGGUUCUGUUUCCAGGACACACAGGAAGUGGAUGAAGAUUUGUAGUCUAUUAAAGAGAAGCACCCCUAAGCUGCACCUUGAAAGAAAACAGAAGGGAGAAUCAGCAGGCUCUGCCCUGCUAUGCUACUGAGAAGUUACUAGAUUACACAGGCAUCCAACCAUAAUUUUUUUUCUUCCACUAGCAUAAAUCACACCAAUAUGACAGAACUCAACAUGUACUUGAGCCAAAUGUGCAUAUCAUGAUUCUUUUGUCAUCUCAACCAAAUCCUAAAAAGAGGACUUUUAUAGUUCUGCCCAUCAUUAGAAACAUGACCUUUUCUUAAUGGGCCUGAAAGGGCAAGGAGCCUUGAACAGCUGUAGCUGAAACUCUCCUCUGCUCACCUGCCCUCUCCUGCCAGUUUUCAGUACCUCCUGCCCUUCUGCACAGUUGGAUGAACUGCACCCACUCUGGCUUUGCCACACCUUGACCACUCACUUGGGUUCAUCUUACAGUUGAAGGGACUGAGACUUGGAGAAAUUAAGACUGCUUCCCUUGCAGGACUGAGUCUCCAGUGAGCUCCCUGAUAAAAAAUCCCAAAGAGUAGUGUGUGGGCUGCAGUGCUGCAGGGGCUCAGGAAAGUGAAGGGCCCAUCCCUUGCUCAGACAAUGCUGCUCCAGCUUCCCGAGGGCAUGUCUCUGCUUCUUUUCUGACUCCAUCAUUGUCCUGGCUGCCCCUCAAGGCCAGCGCCCCUGACUCUGUCUCAUGGCACCCUCUCUCAUUAUGCACUCAAUAAAUGCCGUUGACAGACUGGCUGACUGCCUGCCUGACUAAAGAUGGCAUCUUUCCACCAAGGGCAACUGUCCUUUGCUGCCUUUAUUUAUUGCUUAAUGUCAAAGGGUGUCAUCAGCAUGAUAUAAUUUUCCUGAAAUGCAUAUCAGGAUUAAUAAGAGAGUUAAAGAAAUCUAAAUUGUUGGAGAAUAUGGGUCCUAAUUGGUAUCAUGUCAUUAGUAACAGGGCUUAAGUAAUGUCUCACAGGUGUAGAAAUUUCUUGAGUUAAACCUGUCAAUUUAACCCUGAUUUUUCUCUAAAUGUUCCCAAUUUUUAUGACAUCAUUCCUAGGUACAUUAGUACAUUAGAUAAUUUUCAAGAGAAUAGAGUUACUUCCUAUUACUUUAACUUUGGGAGGCAAAAUUAAGUAUAAGAAGCACAUUUUAUGCUGUUUAACAAAUGAUAAGAAUUUUUAAAAUAUCCAUUUUUCCAUUUGAAGAUCUCCCUGUUUUUUCAACAAAUUGUCAGCAGGCCUUGCAAUCAAAGCAAAAGCAUUUCUCUCCCAAGCUAUGUUCAUCACCGUUCUUGCUUAUAUGAUAUGCAAGAGGAUGGGGAGAAACAUUUAAGUUCAAUCAGAUCCCUGGACAGCUUCUUCCUUAGUAAAACAUUAAAUAAAAGUAUGCAUACAUACAUACAUACACAAACACACCCCAAAGAAAUAGUAAAUCCAGUUUUAUGAGGUUUACAAAAUGAUUCUAAAUUUUUAAAAAAUCCAUUCGUUAUUUUACCUUUCCUGCCAUUCUUUAAAAUCUCCAAAACUGUUGCUCUUGCAAACACUCCCAAAAUGCUGUCAGAUGGGUUAUCAUUGCCUUGCACUUUUGUUCUUUUGUUAAUUUUGGAUAAAGUCCUAGAGUGUAGCAUUAUUAUUGAACUCAUUUCUGCUUAGGUCUCAAGUUUCCAUAGCUCCUCUAUUACCAAGUGGCAGUGCACCCUAUAGGCACAAUAAAUAAAUAAUACAACACUGAAGCUAUAACAAAUCACAAAAUACAUUAUUAAAAAAAUUAAGAAAUAAAUAUCCUCUUCUUACUUAAAUAGAGAUUGAUUUUAUAAUGUGGAAUGCUGAGGAGAGCUGCUCUGAGAUAUAUUAAAGCCUGGGGAUAUGGAGAAUACACUGUAAUGGGCAUUUUUGCUCCCACAGCCAGAGGAAAAAAAAAAUCCUCCAAGUGAAUGGAUGUAUUUGUGAAAUGGAGGCUGAUAUUCCGUGUUUGUUCACAAGCCAGAUAUGAUGCACUGCCACCUUCAUCAUGUGAGGGAGGAGAGACCUGCAGGACACAUCUGUCUUUCCUAAGCACAAACUGAGAGUCUAAAUGAGAGUGAUGAAGACAAAUGCCUUCCUGAAAAUGAAGUUGGAGAAGCACUGUUUCUUUCCUUUGACUUAUAAUUCCAAUUCUGGCUUCCAAAAAGAUGUUCUCGAACUUGGAUUCUGCCAAGCUUCCUCCAAGGUGUUUUAUUUAACAAGGAGAGGAUAUGGCAGAGAUCUCUCCACAAGGUGUAC